rnacentral:lncRNA from 1 species
AACCUUCAAUAAUGCAAAUCUUUAUACAAUCCUCGCCUGCGAUGUGUAAGUUGUUCAAAUUAAUUUACACCUCUCCUUAACGAUGCUAUGGUUCCACUUUUCUACAACCUUCUCAUUCCUCUCCUUCCUUUCCAUGCACUGUCCGUAAUAAAUUGCUAUCAUGUAUACAAAAUAAAAUAUGUAUACGUUACAAGUAAAAAAUCCUACAAGUGUGUACUAUGUUGUAUUCCUAAAGUUUUUUUCUUUUUUUUUGCCAAAUUACCAAAACCCAAAGAGAAUGAGUAGCACACUAAAUUGGUGACACAAAAUCGUGUGGUUUUGCUGUUUACUUCAGGCCUUGUUUAGUUCCAAAAUAUUUUGGCCGAAUGCAAAAUUUUUCGAGAAAGUUUCAAGUGGUUUCGAGAAAGUUGUGCUACACGUCCUCUAGGCGGGUGGACAUCUCUUCGCUAAGUGACUAGAACAUGUGUGACACAUGAGUGCCUCUAUAAAGCAACUAUAUGCCCACUUUUUCAAAAUUGGUUGAAACUUUUUUCUCAACACUACACACCUAAAUUAUGUGACCAUGCAAGUUUUUAGAUUUUUCUAGGCACCUCAGGCAUUUUCAUCAUUUUUCCUUCAGAAAAUCAACAAAUAAUUACAAUAAUAGGUAAACUUUGUCUAAAAAUUACUCAGGUCCACACAACAUCAUUACACACCUACAUUAACAUCACAAAAAAAUUUCAAGUGGUUUCGUGAAAGUCGUGCUACACAUCUCCCAGGCGGGUGGACAUCUCUUCACUAAGUGACUAGGACGUGUGUGAGAGAUGAGUGCCUCUGUAAAGCAACUGUAUGACCACUUUGUCAAAAUUGAUUGAAACAUUUUUCUCAACACUACACACCUACAUUAUGUGACCAGGCAAGUUUUUUUAGAUUUUUCUAGGCACCUCAGGCAUUUUCUCGAUUUUCCUUCAUAAAAUCAACAAAUAAUUACAGUAAUAGGUAACCUUUGUCUAAAAAUUGCACACGUGCACAACAACAUCAUUACACACCUACAUUAACAUUCCAAAAACGUUUGAAGUGGUUUCAUGAAAGUCAUGCUACACAUCCUCUAGGCGGGUGGACAUCUCUUGGUUAAGUG